rnacentral:rRNA from 1 species
UACGUAGGGUGCGAGCGUUGUCCGGAAUUAUUGGGCGUAAAGAGCUCGUAGGCGGUCUGUCGCGUCGAUCGUGAAAACUUGGGGCUUAACCCUGAGCUUGCGGUCGAUACGGGCAUGACUGGAGUUCGGCAGGGGAGACUGGAAUUCCUGGUGUAGCGGUGGAAUGCGCAGAUAUCAGGAGGAACACCGAUGGCGAAGGCAGGUCUCUGGGCCACUACUGACGCUGAGAAGCGAAAGCAUGGGGAGCGAACAGG